rnacentral:rRNA from 1 species
UUUGUUACGACUUAUCCCCCUUUAUUAGGAAGAGCGACGGGCGAUGUGUAGCACAUCUCAGAGCUUCCUUCAACCUAUCAUAAUGAGAUAAGUUUACUUUCAAAUCCACCUUAAGUUAAUUUUUCAUUUUCCUUCCGUUUAAUUUUUAAUUAAUGUAACCCAUCACCACCUUUUUAUAAGCUGCACCUUGACCUGAAGUACAAUAAAAUAGUUAAUUAAGAUGAUAUCUUUUAAGAAUCAUCUGACAACGGCGGUAUACAAACUAAACAAAAAAAGGCAAGGUAAAGCGUGGACUAUCGAUUAAGGGACAGGUUCCUCUGAGUAAGAAUGAGAUGCCGUCAAAUUCUUUGGGUUUGAAGAUUAUCUUUUACUACCCUGGCAAUAUUAGAUAAGAAUAAUAGGGUAUCUAAUCCUGGC